rnacentral:sRNA from 1 species
AGAAAAUAUACACCAAUUGAAAGUAUUGUGUUCGACGUCUGUUUGAAAAAAUAUCUUCUUUAAAAGAGAUGAAUUUAACCUGAUAUGAGUUCUACCUCUUAAAGAUGUAUCCCUUUCACACUUAAAUUUCCAUAUAUUAGAACGAUAUAUAUACUAGCUCUCAUAUCAUAUAGACAUAUUCCAUCGGCAUACUCUUACUCUUCGUAG